rnacentral:rRNA from 1 species
UACGUAGGGGGCAAGCGUUGUCCGGAUUUAUUGGGCGUAAAGAGCGUGUAGGCGGCUUUACAGGUCCGUUGUGAAAACUCGAGGCUCAACCUCGAGACGCCGAUGGAAACCAUCCAGCUAGAGUCCGGAAGAGGAGAGUGGAAUUCCUGGUGUAGCGGUGAAAUGCGCAGAUAUCAGGAAGAACACCCGUGGCUAAGGCGGCUCUCUAGUACGGUACUGACGCUGAGACGCGAAAGCGUGGGGAGCGAACAGG